rnacentral:sRNA from 1 species
UAAUACCCAUGUCUGCUAAUGUCCAACGAGAUUGAUAACUGGCAUAUCAUACAACAAAUAUUUAUAUUUUAAUUUAUGAUAUUUCAAUUCAACAUGGUUAAUGAAGGCUUGGAAAUGAUACAUUAAUGGAGAUAAAGAGGGCCACAAGUCACUGUGGUCUUAAAAUGGAAGCAAGAAAAAGAAAACAAAAGAUCAGCAUGCAGUACAACGAAAAGGGAUUUUUAGAAAAUAAAAUGCAUAGGAUAGAAAAUGCUUAAAAAUGAAUAAACAUCAUAAAAUCUCUGAGGACUUUGUACGAUAUAUUAGUCAGAGAAACUGGGAGGUUUAUGCUGUUCCAGAAAGUCCAUUCUAUUAUAGGAAUGUUCAAAAUGUAGAUAUUUUAAGAUCAAUAUUUUCAAGAGAAAUUAAUAGACUACAAACAUUUAAUGGGUAUCCUCAAGAUGGAAUUUCAGCCAUUAAAUUGGCUAGAAACGGCUUUAUUUACCAAGGCCAUGGUCAUGAAGCUGUCUGUGUCUUUUGUGGAAGCAGAUAUGCUGAGUGGAGUACAGAGGACGACGUCCAGAUGAUACACAGAUGUCUCU